AUGCGCAGUGAGCGGUUAUGAAAUAUGCACAUUACUCAACAACCACCGUCUGGGGGUGAUGCCUGCUAGAAAUAUAAGGGCAGUUCUUGAGAGAUCGAGUGAUCCUUUCUCAACUCGUUCAUGGCGGCGCUUAGCAGAUUAGCAGGUGACGAAGAGAUGUAAAUCGAGCAGUGUCUUUGGCAACCGGCGGACAAGGCGACAUCGUGAGUGGGCAUGGCAUGGCGGGCAUCCAAAGCGGCGGCUCAUCAGCUCCGUGGCCGAUCGGUCCAUGGUGCCGUCGCCGUCGGCAAAGCCGGGUCUCGUCUUUUCUCUCUGUCUGUCUCCGACGUCCGACCUCUUGCCCUCGGUCACCUCUCUUUUUUCUUGGUCACUUGCAGGCAUGCCGCUCCACCCUCCACGCGUGUAAAGCUCACAGGGGCUGGCUCGAAGCCCCAUUUUUGAGCCCACAACAACAGAACAGCAAGCAUGAGGCUCGCUUCGGGUAGGAUGACUAUAUACACUGUAAUAUAAUAUUAUUUGAUUUCGCUUCGGGUAGGAGAAAAGUCCUCUUUUGGAUAAAAAAAAAACAAAGAGGACUUUUCUUUAUGCUCGAUUCCACAGGAACAUUACGAGAGAAAAAAAAAACAUAUG
rnacentral:lncRNA from 7 species